GCCUUUGUGGUGUAGUGGUCAGCACGCUCGACGCGUAUUCGAGAGGUCCGUGGUUCGAGUCCCGGCGAGGGCA
rfam:Stegodyphus mimosarum contig960, whole genome shotgun sequence.